rnacentral:rRNA from 1 species
AACGAACGCUGGCGGCAGGCCUAAAACAUGCAAGUCGAACGCCCCACAAGGGGAGUGGCGCACGGGUGAGUAACGCGUGGGAACGUGCCCUUCAGUACGGGACAACGUCGGGAAACUGACGCUAAUACCGGAUAAUGACUCCGGUCCAAAGAUUUAUCGCUGAAGGAGCGGCCCGCGUCUGAUUAGCUCGUUGGUAAGGUUAUGGCUCACCAAGGCUACGAUCAGUAGCACGUAUGUGAGCAUGAUCUGCCACACUGGGACUGAGACACGGCCCAGACUCCUGCAGGAGGCAGCAGUUAGGAAAAUUGGAAAAUAGGAGAAGCCCUGAACCAGCCAUGCCGCGUGUGUGAUGAAGGCCCCAGGCUUGUAAAGCCCUUUCGUUGGGGAUGAUAAUGACCGUACCCAAAGAAGAAGCACCGGCUAACUUCGUGCCAGCCGCCGCCGUAA